CCUACGGGAGGCAGCAGUGGGGAAUUUUGCGCAAUGCUCGUAAGAGUGACGCAGCGACGCCGCGUGAAUGACGAAGGCCUUCGGGUCGUAAAGUUCUAUCGACAGGGAAGAAAAUGCCUAUAAGUAACUGUGUAUGUAUUGACGGUUACUGGAUAAGCAGCGCCGGCUAACUCCGUGCCAGCAGCCGCGGUAAUACGGAGGGGGCGAGCGUUGUUCGGAGUGACUGGGCGUAAAGAGCACGUAGGCGGCGGUGUAAGUCAUUAGUCAAAGCCUAGAGCUCAACUUUAGUAAGGCUAGUGAAACUAUAAUACUGGAGUAUCAGAGAGGAUUGCAGAAUUCCUGGUGUAGCGGUGAAAUGCGUAGAUAUCAGGAGGAAUACCGUUAGCGAAGGCGGCAAUCUGGCUGGAAACUGACGCUGAGGUGCGAAAGCGUGGGUAGCAAACAGGAUUAGAUACCCGAGUAGUC
rnacentral:rRNA from 1 species